rnacentral:lncRNA from 1 species
CUGUAAGAGCUCAGGGGAAUGCGAGUUGUUUCUUAGCUUCCCCAAGAGCUGGAAGCAAGACGAAUUUUGGCCUGCCUCCUGUUGUGGAAUCAAGACAGGAUUUUGUGCCUUGCACCUCUAAUGCAAUGUAGGACACAGCAGAGCAGAAGUUCUACUUCAGCAAUAUCAUGGCUUGGAAGUAACUGUGUUUCACAUGCCUUUGUAAGAGAUGUUCCCAGUGGCCGUAAGAUCCGUGUGGAGAGCGAGUUGUUUCUUAGCUUCCCAAAGAGCUGGAAGGAAAACCGUUUGUGGCUUGUCUCCUUUGUAGGCAAUGACUCAGUGCUUUGUGACUUCCACCUCUAGAGCAACGUAGAACACGGCUUAGAGCAGACUUACCAAGUAGGCGACAUCAUGGCUGGAAACAAACUCUGUUUCUGGUCUUUGACUUAGAGGUUCCCGGUAGGCUGUAAGAGCCCAGUGGAAAGUGAAAUCUUUCCCACCUUGCGAAAGAGCUGGAAGCAAGAUGGUCUGUGGCC